rnacentral:rRNA from 1 species
UACGUAGGGUGCAAGCGUUAAUCGGAAUUACUGGGCGUAAAGCGUGCGCAGGCGGUUUUGUAAGACAGGGGUGAAGUCCCCGGGCUUAACCUGGGAACUGCAUUUGUGACUGCAAGGCUGGAGUGCGGCAGAGGGGGAUGGAAUUCCGCGUGUAGCAGUGAAAUGCGUAGAUAUGCGGAGGAACACCGAUGGCGAAGGCAAUCCCCUGGGCCUGCACUGACGCUCAUGCACGAAAGCGUGGGGAGCAAACAGG